rnacentral:rRNA from 1 species
AACAGGUUUCCGUAGGUGAACCUGCGGAAGUAUCAUUA